ACAGUCACCCUGACAAUGCCCCAUUGCUGCAGGUGGUGACAGAGUGCUGCUACACUUCAUCCAGAAGUCCCCAGGUGACUACGUCCCCCGGGAGAGCAUCCUGCAGGCCCUGGGCAUCUCUGCGGAGGUCUGUGCCAGCAAGCCGCCUCCGUGUGACGAGGAGGUGUGCUCGCGGUGAAGGCGUCUGCUGUCCUGGGCACGCUGCAAGUCGGAUGGGAAGAAUUGUCCCGGAGUCCCUGGGCCGGACAUUGAACUCUGGUCAACGGGCAGCACUGAGCAGUAAACUGCCAUUUCCGUUUCC